AGUGAACGCUGGCGGUAGGCCUAACACAUGCCAGUCGAACGGCAGCACAGUAAGAGCUUGCUCUUACGGGUGGCGAGUGGCGGACGGGUGAGGAAUACAUCGGAAUCUACUUUUUCGUGGGGGAUAACGUAGGGAAACUUACGCUAAUACCGCAUACGACCUACGGGUGAAAGCAGUGGAUCUUCGGACCUUGCGCGAUUGAAUGAGCCGCUGUCGGAUUAGCUAGUUGGCGGGGUAAAGGCCCACCAAGUCGACGAUCGGUAGCUGGUCUGAGAGGAUGGUCGGCGACCCUGGAGCGUGGACACGCUCCAGACUCCUACGGGAGGCAGCAGUGGGGAAUAUUGGACAAUGGGCGCAAGCCUGACCCAGCCAUACCGCGUGGGUGAAGAAGGCCUUCGGGUUGUAAAGCCCUUUUGUUGGGAAAGAAAAGCAGCAGGUUAAUACCCCGCUGUUCUGACGGUACCCAAAGAAUAAGCACCGGCUAACUUCGUG
rnacentral:rRNA from 1 species